AAAACCUGACCAAAUUUGUUUGUUCAUAACCAGCUAGAUGUCAUGAUAUGUCAUUUUCAUCCAUUCACUCCUCUAUCUGGCUUAUGCCAUUCAAAAAGUCCACUCUUUUCUGAGAAAAGCUUGAUGAAAGCAUCAGAUUUUUGUAAAAUUAGCUGACUGUCAUGGUUCAAUGCUAAUAGGUACAAGUAAGGAAUGGUGUUGUGCUUGUCCUGUGCAAAACCAAGCAGUGUAGAAAGGCAAAGUUCCUCCUACACAAAUAUGAUGUAUGGCAUAAUUUAAAGUAAUCAAAUACAACAUAGGAAACGAUAGAAUUUUAGAGGGACGAAAUCACACGUACGUAGAUGAUGAUCAAAGCCCAACGAAGAACAUAAUCGGAUCCACUGGGAGUCCGAGAUCUACAAAAGAGAACCCGGUUAGCGGCCCAACCGCUGGUCGGCCGGGGGCACUUCGUCUCCCAAGUAAUUCAUGGCCAUCAAGAGGAUAUAGAAAUGUUUAAUGUAUUAUUCCUUACCUUAACCCUUUUGGGUGUGUGACCAAAGCAUUCUAGAUGCCUCCAUGGAUAUCUCUUGGAAUAU
rnacentral:lncRNA from 1 species